rnacentral:rRNA from 1 species
CACGUAGGGUGCGAGCGUUGUCCGGAAUUAUUGGGCGUAAAGAGCUCGUAGGCGGUGUGUCGCGUCGGCCGUGAAAACCUGCAGCUUAACUGUGGGCGUGCGGUCGAUACGGGCAUCACUGGAGUUCGGCAGGGGAGACUGGAAUUCCUGGUGUAGCGGUGAAAUGCGCAGAUAUCAGGAGGAACACCGGUGGCGAAGGCGGGUCUCUGGGCCUGUACUGACGCUGAGGAGCGAAAGCGUGGGGAGCGAACAGG